UCUGCAAUUCCUGUUUGUCUCACCUUCCUCUCACCUCCCUGCUUCAUCUCCUCCUGCUCUUUACUCUCGCUGCCUGUCCUCUCUGCAGGAGCUUGUUUCCAUCAGUAGGAGAGAGCGGCUUGUGAGAGAGGCCAUAGUGGGGAAGAGUCCAAAGGUCUACAGCCAGCUCUUCAAAAGCUCAGCUCAAAAAGCACCAUCAUCACUGCAGACUCUUGAUUCUGGUAACCAUUUUAGUGAGGACAGCAGCUCAGAUGAGUCUCAUGCCAGUUCAGCACUGUCUGUGCCCAGUUCAGCUGGGGCCUUUGCUGGGGCAGUGGAAACACUAGAUACCUCUAUUAUGGAACACACCUUGGAAACAAAAGACCGAACCCCCAAUGCUAAUUGUGCAGAUCAACUAGCUGCAGCCACAUCUCCCUCUUCUGAUAGACGCCCUGGAUCGAACGUCAAACCCAUCCUGCCACCAAUUCCAACUGGACGCAAGACACCUGCACUACCCAGCCCUGGUCCUUCACCCAGACCCAGCCCAAACCCAGCUUCAGGAGAAGGAGGAGAAACAAACAUAGAGGCAUUAUAGAUAUUUUCUUAUCUGACAUCUAACAAAGUUGUAGAAAAAUGUCCAAUUAAGUAUCAAUCUUUAAAUAUAAAUAUAAAAUUGCAAAUUACAUUAGAAAAUCUCUAUCUGCUAAAGUUAACAGUCAGCUGUAAAACCACACAUUUGUUACUAUCUCACCACAAACUACAGUACACAGAUUGUGAUGUGAUAUUUCCAAGCCAAACACUUGAGGUUAGAUUUCUGCACUUGCCUUUUCCUGUCCUCUGUUACUCGUGCUACAACAUGCCUGGAUCUUUAGCACUUGUAUAUACUGUAUAUCUGAUAAGCAACAGUGCUAAAGACCACAUACAUUCACUGGCCACCUUAUUAUGUAUACCUGUGCAAUAUAAUGUGAUCCAGCACAGCCGCUCUGCCAUGAAUUCACCUUUACACAGUUAUUAUUAUUAUUAAAUAAACAUAUAGUAGAAUGAUCACAUGUUUUACAGUUGUUGUACCGUACUUAAUAAAGUAGCCAGUGAGUAUUUAUGGUGAGUACAGUAUAAUUAUAGCCAACAUUGUGCCUUUCUUCUUUGUUGAAUUACUGUCUUAGUGGCCUAAAGGUAUCUAGUAAGUCUUUCAGUCGUGAUAAAUACAGUAGUGUGUUGAACAGAAUAGCUUUUUUCCCUUUCAUAUUAAUAUGUACAGAUUCAUGACCAAAGCUAGUAUCUGUUCAUCUUGGAAAGGUUCAUGUCUACGUCUGUAUGGUACAUGUCAUGUUUUAUGAAUGUAGCAUUAAUUUUCCUGACAGUGAAGUGGCAUUGUAUUUCCUGUUAUUCAGUAAUGUCAUCAAAUAGGAUUUGCCAUUGACAUCUAGAUACUGAUCUUUUUAUAUGUAGCGUGGGGCUCUUGUCAUUGGAUGAUAAAUACAUCAUUAAUCUUUAUCUCCUCUGAUGGGAUUAUUUAUUAUAACUGGAAAUGUGUUCAUAUGGAAGUUGUUGACAGGUUAUAAACAGUGAGCCAUCACACACACAAAGCUUGGGUGUGUGUGGGGCUGACACACAGCGUUUCACAUUUUCUGUGUUUGUGAAUUUAGUAAAUAUUGUUUAUUGUAAAGUACAGUACAGUAAAUUGAAACAGACAUCUGUCACAGAUGUGUGCAUCGCUUACUUAACUGAAUCCUCAGUCAGUCUGCUUGUAGGUGCAUGUGAAUGUGCAGAUAUGCAUGUUGUGUUUUCUGGACUGUGUGUACCCAGAACUUCUACACACACAAAAGACACCUGGCCAUCCAUCACUGUCUGUCUUCCUCUCAGGCAGCAGAUGUUCCAGCCCUGUCUUAAUUCUUUGGCAGUUUGAAACCAGACAGUGCCUUUGGGCCCCUGGGGUCUAACCCACUUAUACUGCAGUCAGCACCCCAUAAUACAGCUUAUCACGGACUAACAUGUUGUCGUCCUGCACAUUAACAUUACAUUGUGUGUGUAAUCUAAUAAUCUUCUUUUAUACACACAUUUAUCUAAAGAAGUUACUGCAGCCUACAUGUUCACAAAUGUGGAAAUGGAUGAAAACAUAAUACAUGUUAAUGUUUCUAAUGGCAUUUUUGUGCCUGGUGAGAAUGUCUUACAAGAACACACCCAGGGAAGUUAUAUCUG
ensembl:lncRNA